rnacentral:tRNA from 2 species
AGCAAGGCACUGAAAAUGCCUAGAUGAGUGUAUUAACUCCAUAAACA